AAAAAUUAUAUGUGAUUUUAAUAAAAACCAUGUAUUACUAAAAAAUAAGAAUAUAUUUUUAAAGAAAUCACGUGUGAUCUUAAUAAAAAACGUGUAUUACUACAAAAUAUCAUGAUAAAAAGAGAUAUUAAACUGAAUAGAAUGUUUUUUCCAAAAAAUAUCAUGUGUUUUUUACAAAUACUAUGUAAUAAGAGAAAAUAACAAGAUAAAAAGAGGAUAUUAUGUUAUCGCCUGUAUUUCGGAAAAAUAACAUGUUACAAAGGACAUUUACGUAAUUACACGUGUUCUCCAACAUGUUUCCGAGAAGAUACUGUGACUCAAGGUUAGUUUGUACAUUCUUUUCAAAUCUAUAGUCAUUUAUUAUAAAUACUCUUGAAUAUAACUAUCUAUAAAAUAUAUAAAUUAUAAGGACGAAAAUGAAAUAGAAAAUUUUUUUGAGGGUGUGACCUUUAAAAAAUAAGGGUUUGAGGGUUUAUUGGAGUUCAAAAAACCUUCAAAUUUGAGGGUUUAAGUGUUUGUUGGAGAUACUCUUAGUCUCUAGUGGUGGACUCAAAAAACGGGAAUCCAUAUAUUUUAUAUCAACAAAAGAUAAAAAAAAAAAAUACAGAUUCACACAUUACAUAGACAGUAAAACAGAUAUAUUAUAUAAAAACUCAUAAACAAACAUAUUUGCAGAUUUAAAAUGAAAUUUUGAACGACCUGAAGAAGCUUCAUGGCCAGUGUUUCAGUUUUUUUUCAUCAGAAGAGUUUUCAAGGUUUCAACCAGAGAAUCAACCCUCAAAUCUGGGAUGGUGCCUGAAGAAUCGUCAUCACUAGAGUCUGAAAACUGCGACAUGUGCUCUCGCCGAAUUAGAGACCUACGAAUGUCGCCAAAACCCUAGAAACCCACAAAUGUCGCCAAAACCCUAGACUUUUAGUUUAUGGCUUUCUUUUUAGCUUGUUUUUGGGCUUUUUAUGGAGAAGUUUGUUUUUCUUUCAACCAAAAUGCAUGUCAUUUGAUUUUAUAUAAUUGAUUUUCAAUUUGACAUGUUCACUUUUUUAAAACAGACAUUUUAGAGUUUCUUAAACUUGAAUUUGUUACUAUUAUAUUCAAUUACAAAUGAUUUGGGACCAACAAGUCUUCCUUCUCAGUCUUUAGAUUGGUGGGAAAAUCUAAACUGAGAGGUGAGAUUUUUUUCACUCGCGCAGAGGAUGCAUGUAUCUUCUUCUUCACAAGUCACAAAGCGUAAAUGAUUUUAACAAAAGGAUCAGUCUUGAGAAAUGAGACUAUCUAGGCUUUAGGUUUUUGAUAUAACAGAGUAAAAUAUGAACAAAAAACACACGGGAUAGGGAAUAUGAACAAAUUAUCGAUUCACCAAAACCUAUCGUAAACAUAAAAGAUUAAUACAAAUUUAUGUUUACAUUUGAGUAUUUCUAACUAUUACUCCUACUAAUAUUUGUU
rnacentral:sRNA from 1 species